rnacentral:rRNA from 1 species
CGAAUGCUGACAUAAGUAACGAUAAAGCGGGUGAAAAGCCCGCUCGCCGGAAGACCAAGGGUUCCUGUCCAACGUUAAUCGGGGCAGGGUGAGUCGACCCCUAAGGCGAGGCCGAAAGGCGUAGUCGAUGGGAAACAGGUUAAUAUUCCUGUACUUGGUGUUACUGCGAAGGGGGGACGGAGAAGGCUAUGUUGGCCGGGCGACGGUUGUCCCGGUUUAAGCGUGUAGGCUGGUUUUCCAGGCAAAUCCGGAAAAUCAAGGCUGAGGCGUGAUGACGAGGCACUACGGUGCUGAAGCAACAAAUGCCCUGCUUCCAGGAAAAGCCUCUAAGCAUCAGGUAACAUCAAAU